UGUCCAAAGAGUUGCCAUAGAAGACAGCAGC
rnacentral:piRNA from 1 species